rnacentral:lncRNA from 1 species
GAAGGAUUCUGGAAGACAUAGGAGGAGACGCCAGCAUUUCGCCCUCCAGCACCUCCCACGGGCUGUGGUCCGCUUCCGGCCUCACUCGAGCAGGCCCCGCCCUCCCAGAGGCCGUUCGUCCAAGUCACGUGAUCGUCGACUCUGUUGACCUGGCGCCACCGGAAAAAGAAAUUCCCGGGCCCUGGCUUCUUGGCCUGAUGGUGAGGCACCAGAGGGGAGAAGGCAGAGCUGGUGCUAUAUGAAGUUUGGCUGCAGAUCCUGGGCCAGCCCUACACCAAAGCCUUGGAGGACAAAACCAGCCUUGAGUUCUGGGCACUUCAGGGGCAACCGACAAGAUGGGUGAAGUGGCGGGAUGAAGUGGGGGGGCGGGGAAGAAGCCUCGGGAAGAUGGGGGAUGACUGGACAAGACUUUGGUAGAGCUGCGACCCUCUUCAUCCUCUCCUGACCCCCCAGCUGACCCUCGUCCUCAGAUCUCUGCAGAACUUUGACCAAGUGGUGGUGGAGGAAUUCCGGUGCUAAAGUGGAGGGCCUCCCAUGGGGUGUUCAGCCUGGGUGUGUAGAAGCACAUAGUGUGGUACAGAGGACCCUCUCCAGACAGGUGACCCCUCACGCUGCUGCUCCCUCUGCUGAAACCCAAACUGCAAACCUCUCCUCUCCCUGCCUUCACCUUGCCCCACGGCUUCCACAGACAGUGCCUCAACCCCGAGGAAUGAAUCCGAAGUUCCAACACCACUGACUUUCCCAGGAACUCAGAGCCAGAGAGGGCCAAGGACCAGCUCGAGG